AGAGUUUGAUCCUGGCUCAGGAUGAACGCUGACAGAAUGCUUAACACAUGCAAGUCUACUUGAUCCUUCGGGUGAAGGUGGCGGACGGGUGAGUAACGCGUAAAGAACUUGCCUUACAGACUGGGACAACAUUUGGAAACGAAUGCUAAUACCGGAUAUUAUGAUUGGGUCGCAUGAUCUGGUUAUGAAAGCUAUAUGCGCUGUGAGAGAGCUUUGCGUCCCAUUAGUUAGUUGGUGAGGUAACGGCUCACCAAGACGAUGAUGGGUAGCCGGCCUGAGAGGGUGAACGGCCACAAGGGGACUGAGACACGGCCCUUACUCCUACGGGAGGCAGCAGUGGGGAAUAUUGGACAAUGGACCAAAAGUCUGAUCCAGCAAUUCUGUGUGCACGAUGAAGUUUUUCGGAAUGUAAAGUGCUUUCAGUUGGGAAGAAGUCAGUGACGGUACCAACAGAAGAAGCGACGGCUAAAUACGUGCCAGCAGCCGCGGUAAUACGUAUGUCGCAAGCGUUAUCCGGAUUUAUUGGGCGUAAAGCGCGUCUAGGCGGCUUAGUAAGUCUGAUGUGAAAAUGCGGGGCUCAACCCCGUAUUGCGUUGGAAACUGCUAAACUAGAGUACUGGAGAGGUAGGCGGAACUACAAGUGUAGAGGUGAAAUUCGUAGAUAUUUGUAGGAAUGCCGAUGGGGAAGCCAGCCUACUGGACAGAUACUGACGCUAAAGCGCGAAAGCGUGGGUAGCAAACAGGAUUAGAUACCCUGGUAGUCCACGCCGUAAACGAUGAUUACUAGGUGUUGGGGGUCGAACCUCAGCGCCCAAGCUAACGCGAUAAGUAAUCCGCCUGGGGAGUACGUACGCAAGUAUGAAACUCAAAGGAAUUGACGGGGACCCGCACAA
rnacentral:rRNA from 1 species